CUUUGGGGAUUCAUUUGGAGUCCCAUAGAAUUCCUUUGUCUCUAAGUAAGCAAAAUCUCAUAUAGGAUGAUGUCAUUAUGCAGGUGAAGGCAGGUACAGGACAGAACGAGGCCUAUCAUUGGACGAGAAGGAAGGAUGGGUGGGAGAAAAGUUUUAGAGGAAGAGACUGGAGAGAGGAGAGAAGCAGCCAAAAGAACACAAAGGCGGAUGUUAAGAUUUCUCUCUGCACAUUUACAGUGAAACAGCAAUUCAUCUGUGACAGCCUCCCUAUUAGCUGGUCAAUCCUGGCACCUCUACAGAAGGAGGAUUAACUGGCCUCUUGCUAUAGCUAUGGAUGCUUCUAGAUGCGUGCACAGGAUGGACUUGUGGGGAUCAGGAGACACUGCUUCAGGAAAGGGAUUGCAGAAGUUGACAUCAGAUCUCCUGAGACUGGAGUAACGAACUACUUUGAGCUGCCACAUGGACGCUGGGAAUUGAACCUGGAUCCUCCCCAAACACAUCAAGUGCUCUUACUACUAAUCCAUCUCUCCACCCUCCAUGUUGCAAGGUUUUCUGCAAAUAUAAACCAUUACUGUUUAAAAGGUUAA